GACGGAGGGUGCGAGCGUUGUUCGGAUUGACUGGGCGUAAAGGGCGUGUAGGCGGUCGGCCAAGUCUGGUGUGAAAGCCCGGGGUUCAGCUCCGGAAGUGCGCCGGAAACUAGCUGGCUGGAGCGCGGUAGAGGAGGGUGGAAUUCCUGGUGUAGCGGUGAAAUGCGUAGAUAUCAGGAGGAACACCGGCGGCGAAGGCGGCCCUCUGGACCGUUGCUGACGCUGAGACGCGAAAGCGUGGGGAGCAAACAGG
rnacentral:rRNA from 1 species